GGUCUAGUGGUUAAGAUUUGGCGCUCUCACCGCCACAGCCCAGGUUCGUUUCCUGGUCAGGGAACCACACCACCCAUCUGUCGGUUGUCAUACUGUGGCGGCUGCGUGUUGCUGUGAUGCUGAAAGCUGUGCCACAGGGAUUUCAAAUACCAGCAGAGUCACCCAUGGUGGACACGUUUCAGCGAAGCUUCCUGACUAAGACAGACUGGGAAGAAGGACCUGGCCACCCACUUCUAAAAAAAUUGGCCAUAUGGAAACUCUGUGAAUAGCAGCAGAACAUUGUCUGAUACAGUGCGGGAAGAUUUUAUUUUUUCCUUUUUCUCCCCAAAGCCCCCCGG
rnacentral:lncRNA from 1 species